AAGAACAUCCUCCAUUUUGCUGCCGCGUACCGGCAUUGCCAUCUAGAACUUAGAACUUUCCACGGACAACGAUUGGCCACGGCAAUUUUCUAACCUGUUUAAGCCUUCAAAACCCAUUUGCAAUUUCUAACCACAUUCAUCUCUACAGCCAAAGGUAUACAAGCAACGAAAAAUGGCAUCGGUCUACAGCUGCAAAGAGUGCGGAGCCAAUCUAAACCUCCACACGUUCCAUCUCUACCCACCGGAUUUCUAUUUUGAGGCAGGCAAUAAAGGGACUCUUUCUUUUGCCAUGAUUGACUCUUCCAAAUUCAGCUACCAGAAGGAAAACAAGUUCGUACCUUUUUUCGAGACAGUCAAUUAUUGGGGCAUCCAAAGGAAUCGAACCAAGAUCAUGUGCAAUAGUUGCGGCAAACGGGUCGGUUAUAUUUACGAUGACGGGCCACCCAUGACUGAUAGUCCGGGCCAGCUCCAUAUGGGACCUAGUCAGGUUAUUCCUAGAGCUCCAAGGUACAGAUUCAAGACCAAGGCUUUAAGGAUCACUUCAGAGACCUGAGCAAGAUUGUAUUUUUUUUCCCUUGGGUUUUGGGUUUUAUGAUGAUGGGUGCUUCCCUUGUAUUUUGUGGCCUUUAGGGCGUCUAUACUCUAGAGAGUCUUGAUAUAGAAGGUGUAUUUUUGAAUCUGUUUUGUAAAAAAUGGAAUUGUUGGAAUAAAGGCUUCUUUUUUGUUAUGUUCUGGUUGGUUUUGUUGGUAUAUUUAGCUGCUCAGAAUCCAAUUGCAAUCUUGAGGAAAUUGAUGGAUUUGUUUGAAGCUGCCGACUGGCUGAGAAAUGAUGAUGGCAGCACGUUAUUAAAAUAUGUCUAAAGAGUGAUUAAGGUAGAUACGUCCAUCUCUAUGUUGUUAAUGUUUUCCCUGCGAGGUGCAGUCUCUUUCAUUUUCAGGCAAACUAUGAUAAAAUUGAAAGCUUUUGAAGUAGAGUUCCCAACUUGGUUUCUAGCAGCAUUCGAUGUCCAGCAUUUGAGUGUCUCCUGUGGACUGGUAGGUUAUUGACAUCUAACCGUACGCAGAUGAGAUGUUUCGUAUUUGGUUCGAGAAAGUAAGUAGCAACAUGCUGUCAAUCUUACCCUUUCACUGGAAAUGUCAAGGUUGCAUCUACCAGUCAGAUUUUGCUCCUUUUCUCUUUCAAGUCAGUCAGAUUUUCAUUUGCUCUCACUUGCUUGUACAGUGUAUGGACUAACAGAAUUGUGCAAGUUAUUUAUGCAGAAGAGUUGCGCCUAGAGAAGACAAAUCAUGGUCACCUAGUCUCUCUGACAGUUAGGUUGGAAGUUGAAUCAUUAGCUGCAGCACAUUCAUGAAACUUGUGCGUCUUAACUCUCAAGGACUUGAGCUCCACUAUAAGAAUUGGAGAAACAACAGAUCAAAUUUGUUAGGGGCUCUCUGCAUGAGUAAAAUUGGUUAGAAAUUUUCAAAAUGAUGCAAAUCGAAACUAAAAGCGAAACUCAUAGUUCGAGGCUAAAGAUGGGCUCUACUCCACCACCUCCUCCUCCUCUGCCACCAUUACCCAAGUUUUCGUGUACUGCCAAUCCAGCAAUAAAGCGACCAACAGUGGUGAGCGUGACUAAUCAAGAGAUUGCUAUGUAUUGGAGGCAAAGGAGUAUGGUCGAGGAAGAUCACCUGCUUGCUGCAAUCAAAGCUGCUGCUCGUAUCAGGGCGCGCAAUCUGUCAGAAGAUGAUUAUCGGCGAUUUGAGGAAUCUUUGAAGGAGGAUGAUGAUGGUAAAGAAAAGGAUACUGCUAAAAGCUUUAGCCAGAAGGAUGAGAAGAUUAAAGAGUUGCGAGUAGGAAUAAAGGAUUGGUGGACAAAGAGCAAAUAUGCAUAUCUGAACCAGCCAGUCAUCGAGUCCAUGGAUACGCCCAAACGAAGAGCAUCAACCCAUAUCCCGCAAUUUUGUUGUUACAUGUCAGCUCCUCCUCCAGCUACUAGAAAUUUGGGAAUCUUUUAGGAAUGUAGGUGCUGUACUACACGAUCAAUUUAAAAGUGAAAAGUGCUCUGAUAUGCAUCCAAGCCCUUAUCUGCUGGCUUUGAUUUCACUGCUUUUUAUAUAAGAAUUAUGUAUGUGAUAGCCAUCCUGGUUUCUCUUCGAGAACUACUAGCUUUCAGAAGGCUCUUCAAGUACUCGAGUUUUGCCUCCAGGUUUUUCCAUUGAUCAUUGAAUAGUGCUUUGUUGUCUACC